AUUAUUACCCUCUCUCCGAUACAAGCCUUUUCUUUCCUUCGCCCUCACCUCUGCUCUGUGAAAGCCGCCUCUCUCUAGCUCGCCCUCUUGUCAGCUCUAUAAUGUCCGCAUCUUUCUCGCUCGCCCUCUCGUCAGCUCUAUAAUGUCCGCAUCUUUCUCGCUCGCUCAUCUCUUCUUUGCGCUCUCCUCUCGGUCGCCCUCUUCUAUCUCAACGAACCUUCUGGCAAUAACAUACGCCACCCACACCAGGGAAAAUUCUUGGGCAUCAAUCGCUGAGUGACCUCUAGAUUGUAUCCUUAAUUUCUUUGAAUAAAUCAAACCCUUAUCAUGAGUAAACCCAGUAUUUUUCUUUGAUGUCUAAAAUAAUACCAAAGUUUGCUAUUAGAUAUCAAAAUAGAAUUUGAGUGUGAAGCCCUUUGUUUCACAAUGCUAGAUGCAAAAUCAAUGAGUAGAAAAAAAAUUUUUACUCAAUAAGUCACCAUAGGAAAUGCUUAAAAAGGUUCAUAUGGGAGAGAGAAAAUUUUUUAGGGCAUCAUGUGUUUGUUUGAAUGAGAUCAUUGCAUUCAAGGCUUUGGAUUUUGAUAAUACGAACAAUAACUUUAUGAGCCUUUUGGUUUUAUACCUUAUUGCAUUUUUUUUUCUCAUUUUUGAGAAUACAAACACACGUUCUCAUUUUUUUUUUUUUUUGGAGUAUUUGUAUUUGAUAUUAUUUAUAUUUUUUUUUAUAAAAUUCGUCAAGGAGUUAUUAAUUAGCUAAAUUUUAUGAGUUGAUGUUGUUAUUACUAUCUUUGGUACUAUUUUAUUCAUUUUCCAAUGGAAUUCAAUGUUUUUUUUUUAAGAUUAUUACCUUUUUUUAUUUUAGGAUGUAUGGAAAUGUUCAUUUUUUGACUCUUUACUGAGAGUCAUCGCAAUCUUGCACUUUUGGAUGUGGUAGACAUGUGUACAAAUACAUGGGUCUAUAAACAUCCUUCAUCAAACAUGAUUCUGUAAUUUGUUUUAGUUUUAUUUGUAUAGGUUAUUGAGAUAGUAUAUAGAAAGAAAGAUGUGCCCAUAACUGACUUGUAAUGUUUCUUAGACCAAAAUUUUUUGGGGGUUACUUCUAUUUCUAGUCCAUCAUCUUAAUCAAAUUUUAUUACAUAAAAGUGGGUUGUAACUUGGUUCAUUUCCAUAUUAUCUCUUUUGAGUUGGCUUUGCCUGGUUUUUUCGUCAUAAUCUUGGUAGAACAUUUGAAAGAACUGUCCAAGCAGUCCAACAUAUAUGAUAGGCUAGCGAGGUCACUUGCACCAAGUAUGUGUGAGCUUGAAGAUGUAAAGAAAUGUCUUCUUUGUCAGGCUUCACCUUCUUGUCUUAGCUUUUCAUUUACGUUGUUUUUUUUUCCCUCAUAAUUUGGAUGAUUAUGUUUAUAGCAUACAUUCCUUACAUUUGAUGUCACAGCUAUUUGGUGGGAAUGCUCUAAACUGCCAUAUGGGUCUAAUUUUCGCCUUAUUUGGAUGAUUAUGCUUAUAGUGUACAUACCUGAUUGCAUUUUUUUUUUCUCAUUUUAAUGGUUCUCAAUUUGUUUUUUGGAGUAUUCGUAUUUGAUCUUAUUUAUAUUUUUAAUUUAUAAAAUCCAUCAAGGAGUAAUUAAUUGGCUAAAUUUUUUGAGUUGAUGUUUUCAUUACUAUCAUUAGUACUAUUAUGUUCCUUUGUUUUUUCUUUGACAUUAUUACCUUUUUUUAUUUUAGGGGUAUAGAAUUGCUCAUUUCUAGGCUUUUUGUUGCAAUCUUGCAUUCUUUGCCUAUAAACAUGUAAUUAUGAUUUAAAUGCACAAUAGAAUGCACUUUUUUAGGGGUAUUCUUAAUAUUGGUUUCUGACAGGUUUAGGAUCUGAUACUGAUCAUAGCAUGUUAUCUGGUUUAAUUUUGGCAAUGAUUGCAUAUGUAUGGCACCCAGCUUUCCCAUUUUGCUUAUGCAUGGCAAUGGUUGCUUAUGUAAGGUGAUGGUUUAAUAUAGUACAUUUGUUGUUUUUAUUGUCUGAUAGAGAAAUGAGCUUUAUCCUAAUUGGGUUCUUGACUUGUUUCCCUAAGGCGAAUAUGACUCUGUUUCUCUAGCCUGAAAAUGAUUUGCCUAAGUUCCUCUUGGAAUUCUUAGCUUUCUUCACUGGCUUACUGCAUUAUGUGUUGUAGUGACCUACAUCAUCGUCAUCACCCAAGCCUUAUCCUAAUGAUUUGGGGAUAGAUGCAGUGACCUACAUCAAUACUGAAAACUAAAUUUCUUUGAUUAGAGGAUAUGUUGAUUUUCUACUACAUGAUUGGUACUAAUUGUAUGCACUGUUUUACUUGUUUAUUGACUGUAGCAAGCUACACAGGCUGUUGCUGCCUCAGAUAGAAGAAAGAGAGAGAAGAGAUCUCUUAGAUACAUUACCACUGCAAAAGAUAGGAGCUUAACUCUUGCAAAGAAAUUUUGAAUAUUGAACUAUGCCUAGAUGUACUAUAUGUGUGUCGUGGACGCCUCACCAUCAGCGUGUCCUUUCCAUCCAGUCGACAUUACUUGUUCUCUUACAGAGCCAUUGAGGAUCUCGAAUCGAGUUGACAAAUUGCAAGAGUGGAUUCGUAUGAAGGAUAUGGCAACUUGGAGAGCUUCAUUUACACAUAUGCAUAAUGGAAUUUUUAUAUUGACUAAUUUUCUAAAUUUUAGAGAUAUAUAAAUAUCCCUUUUUAUAAUU